UACGGGGGGGGCAAGCGUUGUUCGGAAUUACUGGGCGUAAAGGGCUCGUAGGCGGCCAACUAAGUCGGACGUGAAAUCCCCAGGCUCAACCUGGGAACUGCGUCCGAUACUGGAUGGCUUGAAUCCGGGAGAGGGAUGCAGAAUUCCAGGUGUAGCGGUGAAAUGCGUAGAUAUCUGGAGGAAUACCGGUGGCGAAGGCGGCAUCCUGGACCGGCAUUGACGCUGAGACGCGAAAGCGUGGGGAGCAAACAGGG
rnacentral:rRNA from 1 species